rnacentral:lncRNA from 1 species
CGGGCCCUGGAGAGCCGGGUGUCGCCGGGACGCCGGGGAUGCCGCCUGAGUCGCCGAGACAGCCCAAUCUAGCACUGCCGAAACAGAUUUGACAGCAUGCACAUCUGGGGCCCACACGCCACACUCUGAGAUUUGAAUGUUUGUCACACUUCCUAAUUUUUUAAUAAUGAAAAUGAUUUCAGGAAAUAAUGAAGAUAGAGCCAGCUAAAUCUGAGCACAGACUGGGUGGGAAGGAGAAGGAAAAAAUCGGACCAGUUAUGCUUUAUUCUGUGACCUCAGGAGGUGAAGUCGGUUUGCUGAUAAGUGGUCAUUCUGACAAACAGUACGGUGCGGCCUAG